rnacentral:piRNA from 1 species
GGCAGCCAGGGCAGCAGCAGCAGCAGUCGUCUCAG